UACGAAGGGUGCUAGCGUUGCUCGGAAUCACUGGGCGUAAAGGGUGCGUAGGCGGGGCUUUAAGUCAGGGGUGAAAUCCUGGAGCUCAACUCCAGAACUGCCUUUGAUACUGAAGAUCUUGAGUUCGGGAGAGGUGAGUGGAACUGCGAGUGUAGAGGUGAAAUUCGUAGAUAUUCGCAAGAACACCAGUGGCGAAGGCGGCUCACUGGCCUGAUACUGACGCUGAGGCACGAAAGCGUGGGGAGCAAACAGG
rnacentral:rRNA from 1 species